CGCAUACGCGCGCAAGCGGAAACCGUGAGGUGCGGGACGCGGGGCCUGCGGCCCAUCAGGUGGUUGGCGGGGUAACGGCCCACCAAGCCGGUGACGGGUAGCUGGUCUGUGAGGACGACCAGCCAGACUGGGACUGAGACACGGCCCAGACUCCUACGGGAGGCAGCAGCAAGGAAUUUUCGGCAAUGGGCGAAAGCCUGACCGAGCAACGCCGCGUGCGGGAUGACGGCCUUCGGGUUGUAAACCGCUUUUGGGGGGGACGAUGAUGACGGUACCCCCCGAACAAGCCCCGGCUAACUCUGUGCCAGCAGCCGCGGUAAGACAGAGGGGGCAAGCGUUGUCCGGACUUACUGGGCGUAAAGCGUCCGCAGGCGGCGCGACACGUGCGUAGUGAAAGCGCCCGGCUUAACCGGGCGAGGUCCGCGCAGACUGUCGGGCUCGAGGGGUGCAGAGGUGCGUGGAAUUGCCGGUGUAGUGGUGAAAUGCGUAGAGAUCGGCAGGAACACCAAGGGGGAAGCCAGCGCACUGGGCACGCCCUGACGCUCAGGGACGACAGCGUGGGGAGCGAACCGGAUAGAUACCCGGGUAGUCCACGCCGUAAACGAUGGACGCUCGGCGUUUGGGUUCCAUCCGGAACCUGGGCGCCUCAGCUAACGCGCAAGCGUCCCGCC
rnacentral:rRNA from 1 species